UUUUCUUCUUCUUAUUCUUCCCUGAGAUGACAUGAGAUGAGGCUCUGUUGGUCGGUCUUCAAUUCUUCAUGCUGCUGCUGCUACUGCUACAUGAGGACCCUCUUCAAUUCUGCAUCCGUUGCGGCCGCCGCAGCUUCCACCUCCAGAAGAGCACCUGCUCCUCGUGCGGUUACCCGGCCGCCCGCAUCCGCAAGUGUGAAGCGCGAAUCCAUGUCCGAAGCUGUGAAGAAUAUCAGCAAAGAGUAGCAUAUAAUGUGUUGUAGUUGUAGGCAAUAGUAGGCAUAUCUGGGUUGUAAUAUACUGUAACGAUUGUAAUAGAUUAAUGCAGUAUUGGUUUGGACCAAUUUCAUUUGCUCUCUGGUCUAUUCGAAACAAUGAUUGUGUAUGUGCUUUGAAUACCCGUGAAAUGGAAACCUGACAAGUUAUAAUGGUUGUUUGACA